rnacentral:lncRNA from 1 species
GUUCCCCUCUCCCACAUGAAAUCAGUCCCUAGCCAUGCCACCCCACGGGGUGCAGGGUGCUCCCCUGGGCACUCGGUGGGAGGGGGUGUGGGAGAGGCAGCGCUGGUGGGCCAGGUCACCCUGGGAACUGCGGGGUCCAGCAGAGUUUAAAGUCUGUGACUCAGGAGAUGCUGAUUUUGCUUUACAGCUUUCUGUAACUCCAGUCAUCUCUGUCCCAAACCGGAGAGGACCUCAUUUCCUGCUCAGUGCUGUGCCAGCCACAAGGUCUUUUCAUAAGGCUGCCAGGGGUGCCUGGCUGCGGGAAGGACAGUCAGUGUUUGUCACCAGGGAAUGAGCUGGCAUCAUAGCUCUAAUCUGAGUCAACAACCUGGCUAGCCCUGAGCAUGACUUCAUAAAUCAUGGUAUCUAAUUGAAAGGCACAUGCUUGUAUAUACAGUGUUGUUCAAAAAGAAAGAAAAAAAAAAUAGAAUUUAACAAAUACUUUUUUCUUUCCACUAGCCUAAUGAUCAGUCACCUGAUUGUUUCAAUUUACAUUAUUUCAUGCAGAGAAAAAAAGCAAAAGUAUAAAAACAUCUUGUAUAGCCAUAACAAAAACACAAAUGAAAAAAUUCAUCUCCUAAUGAGAGGCUUAGCCUUUUUCUAACACAUCCUUAAUAAUAGGGGAAACAAUCUUUAAGUGUUUUUAAUUUAAAUUGUUUUCAUGUUUAAUUCACUAUUGCUAAAUAAUAUUAUUAAGUGUCUAUGUAUCCAUUUAGCGUUGAGGCAUAUGAUAUUUCAAAGCAAUUGAACCAGUUUUGAAAGGAGAAAGAGUCCUGUACCGUGCCUGCAUUCACUGUUUUUUUUAAUGUUAGUUAACACACGUAUGCUGGACUGCCUUUUUUUCAUCCUUCCAGCAGAAAUGAAAAGUAAGUCUGGAACAAAAGAUCAGUUAUGUGCUUUUUGCUUCCCACACCCAAACCUCCUGCUUUAUUUUUGUAUCCAUAGGGUAUGUGUGAUCUCCUCCCAUGAGAGGCAACUCAGCAGCUCGGUCCCCUCUGCCAUCUCAGCACUGCCAGUGGAGAAGCCCAGGAGGAGCAGAGCAGUGCCUGAGCAGCAAUUUGAAUAUCCAUAUUUAACUCUUCAAACAACAGAAGACACUUCAGAACCAUGUCUUGCUGAUGCAGGGUGAGGAGUGCCCGGCAACCUUUGUGUGCUCAAGGCACAGCUUUAUCCCGGCCAUCAGUGGGACAGUGCACAUGGGAACGUGUGAUCUAUUCCUUCCUGAGCCCCAGUGAUGCCUUGCUUUGCAGUUCCUCUCGCUGGUGAGUCGCUCUUGUAAUUUCCAGUUAUGUAACCCAUCUCAUUUUGUGAAUAUGUGAAUUUAACAGCUGUCAGUGUCAGCAGCGCCUGGGAGGGGUGUGUUUUUUUUUUUUUUUUUUUUUUUUUUUUUUUGGCAAGCUGGCAUUACUCAUCAGUCUCAUGGUAGUUUUGUUUGAAAAAUGCUUGUGUUAGAAAAAGUGGAUUUAUCAGCUCAGCACUGUAUGGUGCUAGCAUGCAGCUCAACAAAAGACAAGUGCUCAUUUCAGUAACGCUUGCAGCAUUUCAUGGGGCCCCCAAAUAGGCUGAACAAGGCUUCUCUGGCAACUAACCCCAAGUACAGUGGGAAGCUAUUAAAGUGGCAGUGUCACUGCUUGGAAAAGGGAUUUGGUUUUCUUCCAUCAUUUAUUGCUGCAGGGGGUUUUUUGUUUGUUUGUUUGUUUUCUUAUUAAAGACUAUGAACUGCACUAGGAAUUUCCCUGAAUAUUGGAGAAAAAAGAGGCUUUACUGAAAAUUUGUGCUUCUAGAAGUGACUUUUUUCUCUCAUGGUUUCUUGGAAGAUAGAUCAAAAUGUCAGUCUGCCCUUCCCAAAGUGGAUCUGUUUUAUGGGGAAAAAUAAGAUACUUGCAGCUUUUUCAAGUAAUACUACAAAGUCAGUGGUACUGCAGCCUUUCAGGGAGAAAUCAUUCUCUGUUCAAAUCAGUUUAUUUUCAGAAUGAUUUGCUGCACUUACACUUUCUUUUGUAGCUGCUCUUCCAGAAUGCAAAUACAACCUGGAGAGUUUUCUGUAUUUAAUUGAAUGUGUCAGGUGGUUGAAAUCAUGUUUUAAAACCAGCAUUACAUACUGCAAAUGUGUCAAACCCUUUGUUCAC